GACGAACGCUGGCGGCGUGCUUAACACAUGCAAGUCGAACGGAAAGGCCCUGCUUUUGUGGGGUGCUCGAGUGGCGAACGGGUGAGUAACACGUGAGUAACCUGCCCUUGACUUUGGGAUAACUUCAGGAAACUGGGGCUAAUACCGGAUAGGAGCUCCUGCUGCAUGGUGGGGGUUGGAAAGUUUCGGCGGUUGGGGGUGGACUCGCGGCUUAUCAGCUUGUUGGUGGGGUAGUGGCUUACCAAGGCUUUGACGGGUAGCCGGCCUGAGAGGGUGACCGGCCACAUUGGGACUGGGAUACGGCCCAGACUCCUACGGGAGGCAGCAGUGGGGAAUAUUGCACAAUGGGCGGAAGCCUGAUGCAGCAACGCCGCGUGCGGGAUGACGGCCUUCGGGUUGUAAACCGCUUUCGCCUGUGACGAAGCGUGAGUGACGGUAAUGGGUAAAGAAGCACCGGCUAACUACGUG
rnacentral:rRNA from 1 species